rnacentral:rRNA from 1 species
AACGAACGCUGGCGGCAGGCCUAACACAUGCAAGUCGAACGCACCGCAAGGUGAGUGGCGCACGGGUGAGUAACACGUGGGAAUGUACCCUUUGGUUCGGAAUAACGUUUGGAAACGAACGCUAAUACCGGAUGAGCCCUACGGGGGAAAGAUUUAUCGCCAAAGGAGCAGCCCGCGUCUGAUUAGCUAGUUGGUGGGGUAAAGGCCUACCAAGGCGACGAUCAGUAGCUGGUCUGAGAGGAUGAUCAGCCACACUGGGACUGAGACACGGCCCAGACUCCUACGGGAGGCAGCAGUGGGGAAUAUUGGACAAUGGGCGCAAGCCUGAUCCAGCCAUGCCGCGUGAGUGAUGAAGGCCUUCGGGUUGUAAAGCUCUUUCGCACACGACGAUGAUGACGGUAGUGUGAGAAGAAGCCCCGGCUAACUUCGUGCCAGCCGCCGCGGUAA